AGAGCCGUCUAUAAAAAGCUUCUAACUUUUAAAAAAGCAUUAACAUGUUUGUGGUUCUU
rnacentral:tRNA from 1 species